UACGUAGGGUGCAAGCGUUGUCCGGAAUUAUUGGGCGUAAAGAGCUCGUAGGCGGUUUGUCGCGUCUGCUGUGAAAACUGGAGGCUCAACCUCCAGCCUGCAGUGGGUACGGGCAGACUAGAGUGCGGUAGGGGGAGAUUGGAAUUCCUGGUGUAGCGGUGGAAUGCGCAGAUAUCAGGAGGAACACCAAUGGCGAAGGCAGAUCUCUGGGCCGUAACUGACACUGAGGCGCGAAAGCGUGGGGAGCGAACAGG
rnacentral:rRNA from 1 species